UCCACGCCCUAAACGAUGAACACUAGUCGUCGGGAUGCUAGUCAUCUCGGUGAUGCACUUAACAGAUUAAGUGUUCCGCCUGGGGAGUACGGUCGCAAGAUUAAAACUCAAAGGAAUAGACGGGGACCCGCACAAGUGGUGGAGCAUGUGGUUUAAUUCGAAAAUACGCGAAGAACCUUACCUAGCCUUGACAUUGAAGAAACACACUAGAGAUAGAGUGGUGCCCUUCGGGGAAUCUGAAAACAGGUGCUGCACGGCAGUCUCCUUAGUUGCCAGCAGGUUAAGCUGGGCACUUUAAGGAGACUGCCUUCGUAAGGAGGAGGAAGGUGAGGACGACGUCAAGUCAUCAUGGCCCUUAUGGCUGGGCUACACA
rnacentral:rRNA from 1 species